AUUGAACGCUGGCGGCAGGCCUAACACAUGCAAGUCGAGCGGAAGAAGGGAGCAUGCUCCUGGUUUCCGCGGCGGACGGGUGCGUAAUGCCUAUGAAUCUGCAAGGUCGUGGGGGAUAACGUCCGGAAAUGGGAGCUAAUACCGCAUCCGUCUUGAGGGUGAAAGUGGGAGAUCUUCGGAUUCCACGCUCUCACAUUAGCCUAGGUCGGAUUAGCUAGUUGGUGGGGUAAAGGCCUACCAAGGCGACGAUCCGUAACUGGUCUGAGAGGAUGAUCAGUCACACUGGAACUGAGACACGGUCCAGACUCCUACGGGAGGCAGCAGUGGGGAAUAUUGGACAAAGGGCGAAAGCCUGAUCCAGCCAUGCCGCAUGUGUGAAGAAGGUCUUCGGAUUGUAAAGCACUUUAAGUUGGGAGGAAGGGCAGUAAGUUAAUACCUUGCUGUUUUGACGUUACCAACAGAAUAAGCACCGGCUAACUUCGUG
rnacentral:rRNA from 1 species